rnacentral:tmRNA from 1 species
GGGGGCGUACUGGUUUCGACGGGGGUACAGAAGCAGGAAUAGCGAGCGGAUGCGCCUGACAUCCUUAAAACGGGCAACUUAUAAAUUAAAGAACAACGAUAACGUAGUUCUCGCCGCGGCUUAACGCGGCCGUCCCACCCGGAAGGACCACGAGCCGGGUGUGGGCGUCAUCUCAGUGGUGCCCGUGCGUGCGGAAAGAGUUGACCGCGCCACGCAUCAUGACUCUACCAAGCUCAGCAGCGUGACGACCCGCGUCUGAGUAAGGGAAUGUAAAGGAUCGUCUGCGCUCGGAGAGGUUCCUGUGGAAGCGCUUUCGGACAGGGGUUCGACUCCCCUCGCCUCCACCA